UGUCCAGUAGGCAAACAUUUCUAGUGGUA
rnacentral:piRNA from 1 species